GUCGGCUGGACGGCCAUUUGAACAGGUCAGGUCCGAUCCGAUCCCAACACCCACCGCCCCCGGCGGCAGAUCUCUCCGCCCGCCGCCCGCUCCGGCGAUCCCGCCCCCCCCCCCCCCCCCGCCGCGAUGGAGGCCGUCCCUGCCGCGGCGGUCCUCGACGGGCAGAAGGAACGGUUCGACCUCGGGGUCUUCGUCGGCGACCUCGCUCUCGACGAGGAAGUCACCAGCUAUGACGGAGGGGCUGCAGCAGGAGCUCGACGACUGCAAGAAUGAUCAGGAAGUCGCAAACAUCCUGGCUAACGGCAUCAAACUGCGCGAGUACACAAAAGGCGUUGAGAACAACAUAAACAAAGUCGAGCUGGACUCUAUACAGAUACACAAUAAUUAUUCUUAAGGAACAUGCUAAGGAGAUAUAUGCAGAAGUUCGUGCAGCUUAUAUUGAUACCAUGAAUAAGGCGCUGAGUUCACAUUUCCGUGCAUACAUAGAAGUGCUAGAGAAAUUACAGUUGGACAUAGCAACUUCCACCGACUUGGAGUCGAAACCAGAAGUACAGGCUUCCUUUUCUCCAUUGGAAAAGAACCUCUGAAAUCCCGUUCUUCAGUGUUCGCUUUGGGUGAAAAAAUAAACAUCUUAAAGCGGAAGAGACAGCUACAAGUUCAGAGAAAGCCAAUGUUGGAUGUUGAACCAUUUGGUUAAGGAUUUCGUAAACCGGUGGAAGGCUGCAAUUGAGCUGAUGCACAAAGAUGUCGUCACAUCUUUCAGCAACUUCUUGUGCGGGAUGGGGAUCUUGAAAGCCCGCUCACAUAGCUCCUGUUCUACUAUACCAGGCUUACCGAGUGUGUCAAGAGGACCAAUGGUGGCUCUGCUCUCAACGAGGACUUGGUGUCCAUAUCGUCUAUUCUGUAUGAAAUCAAGAAAUAUUCUAGGACCUUUUAGUUACUUCUUCAGUGCCAUGUACACUAAGACGACUAGACGAGGGGCAGCGAUGUAUCCUUACUCUGUAGUGUUGAUAUAUGCUACUGCAAAAGAACAGAGCAUUUUGUUGUGAUUUAAGUCAUUUGACCCCUACCCCUUUCCAGCAUGGAGCCAUGAUUUCUAUGCUGUUGUUAUGUGUAAAAUCCUAAGAUGUUUGUGACGAGCAUAUGUAUGAAAGAUUAUCACUUUAUAUGAUUUUACAAAAAUGUCUAUUUUGUGGUC